CGUGCCUAAACCCUGAGCCAGGAACAAACAAGGUCCAACAUCUACAAUUCAAACCAUCAAACACGUGCAACAAGACCGAAAUAGAUUCCCCUUUAACUGACCGCAUCGGGAAAGUAAGAAAGAAAGAAUGAUACGUCUGACACCGGAUGCGCCCCGGAGGCGCGUUUGAACCUCGAGGAACAGGCGCUUGUGCUGCGGAGCCCCAUCGAGGUGCUAUUGGAGCGGGGCCCCUCUCUCUAUUCAGCCUGAGAGCUACAGGGAGAGCGCUGCCGCGGAAGGGGGGGGGGGGACGUGUAAUCACCCAAACAGCCCUUUUUAACCCCCCCACCACCCUCCCCUCCCACCUCCCACGACACUGCUGGAUCUGUGCCGCAAGUCUGCCGCGAGGCUGUCCGUCUUUCACUGCGGAUACCGCGAGGGGAGGCCGAGGAAGACACCGAGAGUUUCAGAUGAUGUCCAGUAGACCACGGCUGCUCCAGCCAAUAAACAAGACUGAUGAGGUUGAUGAUGACUGAGUGACGCUGCAUUCUGGGAACCCACAACUGUGCUCGUGAAUCCAUGGCGAUUGGGCUCUACACUGGUCUACUGUCCAGCCAUCACAGGGUAGGAGGUUGUUCCUGCAUCACGAUAGCCAGCUGCUGGGCUACAAUAUAAUACUUUCAUGUAGGGGGGGGUAAAAUUAAGACACCUGGGGAAAGAUAGUAAUGAAUUAGGAGAAAAUAAUAGAAUAAAAAGAGGAAGAGAAGGAAAAACCUCUUUGUUGAGUCAAAAUUUCCCACGCUCUUUAGACGUUAAUGUGCUGU
ensembl:lncRNA